AGUUUUUUAUGUGAUCUCUCAGCCACCGCAGCCUGAACAGAUAUUAAUAUCACAAAAAAGACUAAAAUCUGGGAUCUCAUUCGACCUAAUUUUUUUUUCAUUUUCUCUCUAAUCUUCAACAUUCUUAUUCCCCUUUCUCUUUGGAUUUGUGUUCUUCCUCUCUUUUCUCUCUUCAAAUAUAUCAGCCACUCUCGCUCCCUUCUCUCAUCAACACCAAUCUUUGUUAGAACCUUAAACUCUCGCAUAUGCUGUCUCGUGAAUCUCACAGUAAUGGGACAAAACUUUGCCGCCGAGAAAGGAAUUCCCCAAAUUCGAAACCAUACUUCUCCUUCGAAGAAAUCCUCAAGGGAUUUGAGAAACCAAUAUCGUUUAGGUUACUGGCGGCUAAAGUAAUGGAUCUGGAGAAAGCAGGUACGAUGUAUUUCAUCUCAAGCGGAUAUGACGAUCCUUGUUAGAUGUUCGUCCUUAGAAGGAUACUCAAAAAGGGUCGAAGCGGAUUACGUAAUAAUAUCUAAGAAGUUUCAAGGUCCAACAUUGUGGAAAAUUUACAAGUUUAAAUACAAAAGUUAUUUGAACUUAUUUUUAAUUAUGUAUUUUUACUUUGUAAUAUAUAUAUUUUUUAUUCAUG